rnacentral:rRNA from 1 species
CCAGACUCCUACGGGAGGCAGCAGUGGGGAAUAUUGCACAAUGGGGGAAACCCUGAUGCAGCGACGCCGCGUGAGCGAUGAAGUAUUUCGGUAUGUAAAGCUCUAUCAGCAGGGAAGAAAAUGACGGUACCUGACUAAGAAGCCCCGGCUAACUACGUGCCAGCAGCCGCGGUAAUACGUAGGGGGCAAGCGUUAUCCGGAUUUACUGGGUGUAAAGGGAGCGUAGACGGUCCUGCAAGCCAGAUGUGAAAGCCCGGGGCUCAACCCCGGGACUGCACUGGAAACUGCCGGGCUGGAGUGUCGGAGGGGCAGGCGGAAUUCCUAGUGUAGCGGUGAAAUGCGUAGAUAUUAGGAGGAACACCGGUGGCGAAGGCGGCCUGCUGGACGACGACUGACGCUGAGGCUCGAAAGCGUGGGGAGCAAACAGGAUUAGAUACCCCAGUACCA